UUGGGGGGGAUGGGGGGGCAGUUUGGAGGACCUCCAACGUUGGUCCUCCAACUGAGGUCCUCCAACGAUGGUCCUCCAACAUUGGUCCUCCAAUGGAGGUCCUCCAACGGAGGUCCUCCAAUCGGAGUCCUCCAAAGUGGGUCCUCCAAUGUUGGUCCUCCAAAGGAAGUCCUCCAACGCAAGUCCUCCAAUGGAAAUCCCCCAGUGGAAGUUCUCCAGCAGAGUUUUGGUGUUCCUUGCAGCUGCUGAUGGAAACCCUAAAUGCCACUACCCCCCAUUAUGUGCGCUGCAUUAAACCCAACAAGGACUGGGAACCCUCCAGGUUAGACCCCAAAAGGGCCGUGGAACAACUGAGGGCUUGUGGGGUUUUGGAGACGGUCCAGAUCAGCGCUGCGGGGUUUCCUUCCAGAUGUUCCUAUCAGGAUUUCCUGAAUCGUUAUCGAGUCUUAAUUAAGAAGUGAGAAGCAAUUAAGAAGGACCCCAAAUUAAUCUGUCAGGACCUGGUGGAGGACCUCAUUAAGGACCCGGAGCACUUCCGGUUAGGCCGCACCAAACUCUUCUUCCGGUCCUCCCAAGCCGCCUAUUUAGAAAAGCUGCGGGUGGAGCUGCUCCUGGCGGCCACCAUUUUGAUUCAGGCGACGUACAAGGGUUUGCUUCAACGCCGUCACUUCUGGCGGAAGAGCCUGGUGGCCGCCAUUUUGCAACAUUACAUCCGGGGAUUUUUGGUGUGCAGACGCUACCAGAAGCUCUGCACAGCUGCCAUUAAGAUCCAGGCCUUCGUUGGGGCACCUUAAUUAGGAGGAAUUACCACCAGGUGAGCCUUAACGAGCUCCUUCGUUAAUGAGCAAUGCAGAGCCCCAGAGGAAACCAUGGAGACCCCAUAAAACCCCAUAAAAACCCCAUAAAGACCCCAUAGGAUCCCAUAAGGCCCCGAUAAAGCCCC